rnacentral:tRNA from 1 species
GCCUGGGUGGCUCACUCGGUUGAGCAUCUGACUUCAGCUCAGGUCAUGAUCUCACUGUUGUGGGUUCCAGCCCCGUGUCAGGCU